ensembl:rRNA 5S_rRNA 5S ribosomal RNA
GUCUGCAGCCAUACCACCCUGAAUGCACCCGAUCUUGUCUGAUCUUGGAAGCUAAACAGGGUCAGGCCUGGUUAGUACUUGGAUGGAAGACAGAUCUUCAGAAGAGACUGUUGGAGACU